rnacentral:tRNA from 1 species
GCCCAGAUGGCUCAGUUGGUUAGAGCAUGGUGCUGAUAACACCAAGGUAGCAGGUUUGAUCCCCAUAUGGGACA